UACGUAGGGAGCAAGCGUUGUCCGGAAUCAUUGGGCGUAAAGCGCGCGUAGGCGGCCCUGUAAGUCCGUUGUGAAAGUCAAAGGCUCAACCUUUGAAAGCCGAUGGAUACUGCAGGGCUAGAGUUCGGAAGAGGCGAGUGGAAUUCCUGGUGUAGCGGUGGAAUGCGCAGGAUAUCAGGAGGAACACCAAUAGCGAAGGCAGCUCGCUGGACGAAACUGACGCUAAGGCGCGAAAGCGUGGGAGCGAACGAGG
rnacentral:rRNA from 1 species